AGAGGGCGCGGGCGUCACGGCUCAGGCCCACCAAUGCGAAAGCAGCUCUGGGCGGAGCGGGACAGGGCUGCGGUCCCACCUGAAGAGCUCGGAGAGGCAAGAUUGCAAAAACCUGCUAAAGGAAUACAUGAAGUGACACGAGUGCUUUGAGCGACUUCGCAGUGGCUGUGAUGGCUGAAGGCAGGGAAAGAUCAGGAGGGCCUUUCACAUUAGAAACUAAGAAAAUUUUGAAAGAGAAAGUGAAAUGAUUUGAUCAAACAGGUGACAGACUGUUAGGGAAACUUCUGGAAUCUUAACAAUGAUUUGAACAUGGGUGGAGGCCAAGGUAUAUUUGGUCCAUGGUUUUGACAGCAUUUGUCGGUUUCACCAGAAUCCUAUGACCAUGCUGCUCCAGAUUCCUGCUUUUUAAGAGCUAUCAGCAGAAAUGAGGCUUAAGUAGGUGGUUAUGAUCGUGAGACCCAGUUUCAGAGUCCUCAGUGGAAACCACAAGUUCACCUCAUGC